UUGCAUUGUCUUGAGUGUAUUGUGGGUUUCCUGUGUUGCAUACCUAAAUGAUGGUAUCGUUUUGGUUGAUCGAUGUCCCUUUUCAUCUUGUGUUGCCUUUGUGACGCAUGAUGAACCUUGAAGUGGUCUCUAUGUUCCAUCAUGUUGAUGCAAAUGCAUUGAUGUUGUGGCCCAUUGAGUGUUGCUUGGUAUCUUGGAUAUGGAACAUUAUGUGGGCAUGGGGUCUCUCAUGACUCUUGUUUUGUCCUUGUUCAGUGUUCUUUAAAACGACGGAUCAUGUGCGCCUAGGCUCGUACCUGCGUGAUGKUCUUUGUCGAAGAGGAAUGCUACCUGGUUGAUCCUGCC
rnacentral:misc_RNA from 1 species